rnacentral:rRNA from 1 species
UACGAAGGGGCUAGCGUUGCUCGGAAUCACUGGGCGUAAAGCGCACGUAGGCGGAUUGUUAAGUCAGGGGUGAAAUCCUGGAGCUCAACUCCAGAACUGCCUUUGAUACUGAGAAGCUCGAGUCCGGGAGAGGUGAGUGGAACUGCGAGUGUAGAGGUGAAAUUCGUAGAUAUCGCAAGAACACCAGUGGCGAAGGCGGCUCACUGGCCCGAUACUGACGCUGAGGCACGAAAGCGUGGGGGAGCAAACAGGG